GAUUAAGUUAUUAAGGGCGCACGGUGGAUGCCUUGGCACUAGAAGCCGAAGAAGGACGUUACUAACGACGAUAUGCUUUGGGUAGCUGUAAGUAAGCGUUGAUCCAGAGAUUUCCGAAUGGGGGAACCCAACAUGAGUUAUGUCAUGUUAUCGACAUGUGAAUUCAUAGCAUGUCAGAAGGCAGACCCGGAGAACUGAAACAUCUUAGUACCCGGAGGAAGAGAAAGAAAAAUCGAUUCCCUGAGUAGCGGCGAGCGAAACGGGAAGAGCCCAAACCAACAAGCUUGCUUGUUGGGGUUGUAGGACACUCUAUACGGAGUUACAAAAGAACAUGUUAGACGAAUCAUCUGGAAAGAUGAAUCAAAGAAGGUAAUAAUCCUGUAGUCGAAAACAUAUUCUCUCUUGAGUGGAUCCUGAGUACGACGGAGCACGUGAAAUUCCGUCGGAAUCUAGGAGGACCAUCUCCUAAGGCUAAAUACUCUCUAGUGACCGAUAGUGAACCAGUACCGUGAGGGAAAGGUGAAAAGUACCCCGGAAGGGGAGUGAAAGAGAACUUGAAACCGUGUGCUUACAAGUAGUCAGAGCCCGUUUAUGGGUGAUGGCGUGCCUUUUGUAGAAUGAACCGGCGAGUUACGAUCUGAUGCAAGGUUAAGCAGCGAAUGUGGAGCCGUAGCGAAAGCGAGUCUGAAUAGGGCGUUGAGUAUUUGGUCGUAGACCCGAAACCAGGUGAUCUACCCUUGGUCAGGUUGAAGUUCAGGUAACACUGAAUGGAGGACCGAACCGACUUACGUUGAAAAGUGAGCGGAUGAACUGAGGGUAGCGGAGAAAUUCCAAUCGAACUUGGAGAUAGCUGGUUCUCUCCGAAAUAGCUUUAGGGCUAGCCUCAAGUGAUGAUUAUUGGAGGUAGAGCACUGUUUGGACGAGGGGCCCCUCUCGGGUUACCGAAUUCAGACAAACUCCGAAUGCCAAUCAAUUUAACUUGGGAGUCAGAACAUGGGUGAUAAGGUCCGUGUUCGAAAGGGAAACAGCCCAGACCACCAGCUAAGGUCCCAAAAUAUAUGUUAAGUGGAAAAGGAUGUGGCGUUGCCCAGACAACUAGGAUGUUGGCUUAGAAGCAGCCAUCAUUUAAAGAGUGCGUAAUAGCUCACUAGUCGAGUGACACUGCGCCGAAAAUGUACCGGGGCUAAACAUAUUACCGAAGCUGUGGAUUGUCCUUCGGACAAUGGUAGGAGAGCGUUCUAAGGGCGUUGAAGCAUGAUCGCAAGGACAUGUGGAGCGCUUAGAAGUGAGAAUGCCGGUGUGAGUAGCGAAAGACGGGUGAGAAUCCCGUCCACCGAUUGACUAAGGUUUCCAGAGGAAGGCUCGUCCGCUCUGGGUUAGUCGGGUCCUAAGCUGAGGCCGACAGGCGUAGGCGAUGGAUAACAGGUUGAUAUUCCUGUACCACCUAGUAUCGUUUUAAUCGAUGGGGGGACGCAGUAGGAUAGGCGAAGCGUGCUGUUGGAGUGCACGUCCAAGCAGUAAGGCUGAGUGUUAGGCAAAUCCGGCACUCGUUAGGCUGAGCUGUGAUGGGGAGAGGAAAUUGUUUCCUCGAGUCGUUGAUUUCACACUGCCGAGAAAAGCCUCUAGAUAGAUAACAGGUGCCCGUACCGCAAACCGACACAGGUAGUCAAGAUGAGAAUUCUAAGGUGAGCGAGCGAACUCUCGUUAAGGAACUCGGCAAAAUGACCCCGUAACUUCGGGAGAAGGGGUGCUCUUUAGGGUUCACGCCCAGAAGAGCCGCAGUGAAUAGGCCCAAGCGACUGUUUAUCAAAAACACAGGUCUCUGCUAAACCGUAAGGUGAUGUAUAGGGGCUGACGCCUGCCCGGUGCUGGAAGGUUAAGAGGAGUGGUUAGCUUCUGCGAAGCCACGAAUCGAAGCCCCAGUAAACGGCGGCCGUAACUAUAACGGUCCUAAGGUAGCGAAAUUCCUUGUCGGGUAAGUUCCGACCCGCACGAAAGGCGUAACGAUUUGGGCACUGUCUCAACGAGAGACUCGGUGAAAUCAUAGUACCUGUGAAGAUGCAGGUUACCCGCGACAGGACGGAAAGACCCCGUGGAGCUUUACUGUAGCCUGAUAUUGAAAUUCGGCACAGCUUGUACAGGAUAGGUAGGAGCCAUUGAAACGUGAGCGCUAGCUUACGUGGAGGCGUUGGUGGGAUACUACCCUAGCUGUGUUGGCUUUCUAACCCGCACCACUUAUCGUGGUGGGAGACAGUGUCAGGCGGGCAGUUUGACUGGGGCGGUCGCCUCCUAAAAGGUAACGGAGGCGCUCAAAGGUUCCCUCAGAAUGGUUGGAAAUCAUUCACAGAGUGUAAAGGCAUAAGGGAGCUUGACUGC
rnacentral:rRNA from 1 species